AGAGUUUGAUCCUGGCUCAGAAUCAACGCUGGCGGCGUGCCUAACACAUGCAAGUCGAACGAGAAAGUGGAGCAAUCCAUGAGUAAAGUGGCGCACGGGUGAGUAACACGUGACUAACCUACCCUUGAGUGGGGAAUAACCUAGAGAAAUCUGGGCUAAUACCGCAUAACACCUACGGGUCAGAGGAGCAAUUCGCUUAAGGAGGGGGUCGCGGCAGAUUAGCUAGUUGGCGGGGUAAUGGCCCACCAAGGCGGUGAUCUGUAUCCGGCCUGAGAGGGCGCACGGACACACUGGAACUGAAACACGGUCCAGACUCCUACGGGAGGCAGCAGUGGGGAAUUUUGCGCAAUGGGGGAAACCCUGACGCAGCAACGCCGCGUGGAGGAUGAAGUCCCUUGGGACGUAAACUCCUUUCGAUCGGGACGAUUAUGACGGUACCGAGAGAAGAAGCCCCGGCUAACUUCGUGCCAGCAGCCGCGGUAAUACGAGGGGGGCGAGCGUUGUUCGGAAUUACUGGGCGUAAAGGGUGCGUAGGCGGUUCGGUAAGUCUUAUGUGAAAUCUUCGGGCUCAACUCGAAGUCUGCAUGAGAAACUGCCGGGCUUGAGUGUGGGAGAGGUGAGUGGAAUUUCCGGUGUAGCGGUGAAAUGCGUAGAUAUCGGAAGGAACACCUGUGGCGAAAGCGGCUCACUGGACCACAACUGACGCUGAUGCACGAAAGCUAGGGGAGCAAACAGGAUUAGAUACCCCCGUAGUCC
rnacentral:rRNA from 1 species